rnacentral:tRNA from 1 species
GGCGGACGUAGCCAAGUGGUAAGGCAGUGGAUUGUGGCUUCACUAUUCGCGGGUUCGAACCCCGUCGUUCGCC